UACGUAGGGUGCGAGCGUUAAUCGGAAUUACUGGGCGUAAAGCGUGCGCAGGCGGUUCGUUGUGUCGGCGGUGAAAGCCCCGGGCUCAACCUGGGAAUGGCCGUUGAAACUGGCGAACUGGAGUGUGGCAGAGGGGGUGGAAUUCCGCGUGUAGCAGUGAAAUGCGUAGAGAUGUGGAGGAACACCGAUGGCGAAGGCAGCCCCCUGGGUCAAGAUUGACGCUCAUGCACGAAAGCGUGGGGAGCAAACAGG
rnacentral:rRNA from 1 species